AUUCCAUAAGCGCAAUCAGGUGCGUAAGCUCAAUAGAGAAGUCCGGUGCAAAACCGGCGCGGUCCCGCCGCUGUAAGGAGGAGCCAGGCUGCAAAGAUGUCACUGUACGUUAGCGUAUGGGAAGGCGCAGCCAGGACGAUGAAUCCGAGCCAGAAGAACUGCCUGAUCCAGAAUCACCGGU
rnacentral:ncRNA from 19 species